CUGUAAAUGUUAUAAUACAGUUAGUUUUUACUGUAAUUGAAACAUUUGUAUGUCCAACGAGUACAACUAUGCUCCCCAUGUACAGGUUUCAAGUUGUUUUGGAAAGUUACUGGGUAAAAUAUAUGGCUUGCAAAUUAGAUUUUCUGGAAUUUCUUCCAUGUUGUCAUGUAAGUCCCCAAAUAUAUAAUUAUAUAUGAUUAUUUAUUAGGGACUUAUUUUACAACCCAGGCAGAAAUUACAGAGAAUUUAAU